ACUCCACGGGAGGCAGCAGUGGGGAAUAUUGCACAAUGGGCGCAAGCCUGAUGCAGCCAUGCCGCGUGUAUGAAGAAGGCCUUCGGGUUGUAAAGUACUUUCAGCAGUGAGGAAGGUGGGUAUGUUAAUAGCAUACUCAUUUGACGUUAGCUGCAGAAGAAGCACCGGCUAACUCCGUGCCAGCAGCCGCGGUAAUACGGAGGGUGCGAGCGUUAAUCGGAAUUACUGGGCGUAAAGCGCAUGCAGGUGGUUUGUUAAGUCAGAUGUGAAAGCCCGGGGCUCAACCUCGGAAUUGCAUUUGAAACUGGCAAACUAGAGUACUGUAGAGGGGGGUAGAAUUUCAGGUGUAGCGGUGAAAUGCGUAGAGAUCUGAAGGAAUACCGGUGGCGAAGGCGGCCCCCUGGACAGAUACUGACACUCAGAUGCGAAAGCGUGGGGAGCAAACAGGAUUAGAUACCCCUGGGUAGGCUCUGC
rnacentral:rRNA from 1 species